GGUGAAAUAGCUCAGUUGGGAAAGCGUUAGACUGGAAAUCUAAAAUUAUCUGAUUCAAAGCCAGGUUUUGUCU